UCCUACGGGAGGCAGCAGUGAGGAAUAUUGGUCAAUGGGCGGAAGCCUGAACCAGCCAAGUCGCGUGAGGGAAGACGGUCCUACGGAUUGUAAACCUCUUUUGUCGGGGAGCAAAGGGGCCACGCGUGGCAGGAUGAGCGUACCCGAAGAAAAAGCAUCAGCUAACUCCGUGCCAGCAGCCGCGGUAAUACGGAGGAUGCGAG
rnacentral:rRNA from 1 species